rnacentral:rRNA from 1 species
GUAACGGCGAGUGAAGCGGGAUGAGCUCAAAUUUGAAAUCUGGCUGGUUUACUAGUCCGAGUUGUAAUUUAAAGAAGCGUUUUCGGUGGCAGCCUGGGUAUAAAUCCUUUGGAAUAGGGUAUCAUAGAGGGUGAGAAUCCCGUCUUUGACCUAGUGCAUGCUACUAUGUGAUACGUUUUCAAAGAGUCGAGUUGUUUGGGAAUGCAGCUCAAAAUGGGUGGUAAAUUUCAUCUAAAGCUAAAUAUUGGCGAGAGACCGAUAGCGAACAAGUACCGUGAGGGAAAGAUGAAAAGAACUUUGAAAAGAGAGUUAAACAGUGCGUGAAAUUGUUGAAAGGGAAACGUUUGACACCAGUCAUGUGGGUGGAAAAUCAGUCUUUUGCAUUGGGGAGUUGUAAAGGUUCGGACCGCAAGGCCGGCUUUUGCUUCAUCUUUGGUGUAAGGGAUGCACUUUUUCAUCUACAGGUCAACAUCAGUUUCUUUUGCUGGACAAAACUCCGAGAGAAGGUAGCAGCUUAGGCUGUGUUAUAGCUCUGGAGCGAUACAGUGAAGGGGACUGAGGUUUUCGCAGCGUGUGCUCUCGGGCAAGGCUGGAUGGGUGCUAUGGGAUCGUUCGGGGUACAAUGCCUGGCAUUUUGCUUCGUGUCUUUUCUAUACUCGCUCAACUCAGCUCUUCCACGCUUAGGAUGUUGACUUAAUGGU